GUAGUCCACGCAGUAAACGAUGAUAACUCGUUGUCGGCGAUACAAUGUCGGUGACUAAGCGAAAGCGAUAAGUUAUCCACCUGGGGAGUACGUUCGCAAGAAUGAAACUCAAAGGAAUUGACGGGGGCCCGCACAAGCGGAGGAACAUGUGGUUUAAUUCGAUGAUACGCGAGGAACCUUACCCGGGCUUGAAAGUUAGUGACGGAUCUUGAAAGAGGUCUUCCCUUCGGGGCACGAAACUAGGUGCUGCAUGGUUGUCGUCAGCUCGUGCCGUGAGGUGUCGGGUUAAGUCCCAUAACGAGCGCAACCCCUACCGUUAGUUGCCAGCAGGUCAAGCUGGGCACUCUGACGGGACUGCCGGUGUAAGCCGAGA
rnacentral:rRNA from 1 species